rnacentral:rRNA from 1 species
CCCCUGAUAGGGCUAGGGGGCCCACCAGCCUACCAAACCCUGUCAAACUCCGAAGGGUCUAAGGUGGGGCCUGGGAGUGAGGGCGCGAGCGAUAACGUCCGUGUCCAAGCGCGGGAACAACCGAGACCGCCAGCUAAGGUCCCGCAGUCUGGGCUAAGUGGGAAAGGAUGUGGCGUUGCUGAGACAGCCAGGAGGUUGGCUUAGAAGCAGCCAUCCUUUAAAGGGUGCGUAAUAGCUCACUGGUCGAGUGACGCUGCGCCGAAAAUGAUCGGGGCUUAAGCCCAGGGCCGAAGCUGCGGGUCUGAGGGGUGAUCCCUCAGGCGGUGGGGGGGCGUUCCCGAUGCCGAUGAAGGUGGUCGGCGAGGGCGGCUGGAGGUAAGGGAAGUGCGAAUGCCGGCAUGAGUAACGAUAAGGAGGGUGAGAAUCCCUCCCGCCGUAAGCC